UUUUUUUGCUUUUUAUUCAUGGCUUAGUUUUUUUUUUUUCAAACAUGCUUCUUCCUUCGCAGAUCUAUUUUGAAAGAGACUCUCUCUCUCUCCUCUCCUCUCCGUCGGAGGUGCUCUCGCCUCCAGCAAUGGCGGCCACUGACACCUAGUUCGAUCUCAGACCGUCGCCCCACUCCGCCUUCUCCGCCGGGGAGUACGCGUUCGCCGAUGCCGGAAACUUGGAGCACUGCGCUUGGUACUUGAACCAGACGCUUCGUCACUUUUGGCUUCCCGGCUUCCCUGGACCUCUUUGCCAGCGAUCCGGUGCGUUCUCGUUGCCCCCCACCCCAACGCCCCCUUUUUUUU